UACGUAGGGGGCAAGCGUUGUCCGGAUUUAUUGGGCGUAAAGAGCGUGUAGGCGGUUAGGUAGGUCCGUUGUGAAAACUCGAGGCUCAACCUCGAGACGCCGAUGGAAACCAUCUGACUAGAGUCCGGAAGAGGAGAGUGGAAUUCCUGGUGUAGCGGUGAAAUGCGCAGAUAUCAGGAAGAACACCCGUGGCUAAGGCGGCUCUCUAGUACGUGACUGACGCUGAGACGCGAAAGCGUGGGGGGAGCGAACAGG
rnacentral:rRNA from 1 species